rnacentral:lncRNA from 1 species
UGUAUUUAUUUCAGCUCGUCAUUUCUAGGCAUAUUUUUCAGUUGAGGUUGUGCUUCCUUUGAAGGAGCCAAAUUUACUACUCAUAUUUAUAUCAUUCUUUUCUUGUUACUUUGCCACCACUUCUCCAUUCGUUGGUACUUUCAUGUCAUUCACCUGCGGAGAUAUGUAACUUGCACCUUUGACUUACCGUUGUAUUUGUAAUUUUUUCAACAUCCUAGUGUUAUGGUAUGUAGAUGUUGCUGUAUCCCAACUUAGAUGAAUGACUUUUUUCUGCAAAGAUUCGGAUAUGUCUGUAAUCUGUUAAAUGGCUGUAAUGUUAACUUUCGGAUGAAAUGACUUCUCUUGUUCUUUUGAUGAUGGUCGCGGUGUAUGGAAAAUGAAUAUUUUCUACUUGUUACUGAUGAUUACCUAGGUUCUCUAUAUUGAUUGAAGUGCCACUUCCAUAAUAUAAGAUCACUAGAUAGUUUGUCUUUAUAAUUUAAUACACGAUCGGUAUUAGAAAUAGUUACUUCUUAAUCGUAAAAUAAUCGCACAAAUAACUAUAUCAAAUAAAAAUUGUUUUAUAUGAUUUCCAAUGAGAUCAUAAAAAAAGUAGAUUGGAAAGAAUUUAUCGAAAUAAUUUAAACGGAAUUUUUCAUAGAAUGAACCCUGUAGGGUAGAGUCAAAAUUAAUAUGAUAAUUUUUUUUUACGUAUUUCUUGAAAAGAAUUAUUAAUAGUAGAGUUUUUUUGUGAACUAGAUUUGUUUAUUGUAAUAAUGAAGUUAAUCUUUCUGCAAUUUGGAUUGUAAGAGGAGAGUAAAAGGAAUGGCAAAAUACACUUUUACUUUAUUGUGAUUGUUGAUUUGUAAGUAUUUGGUCACUGAACUUUAAAAAAAUGAAAUUGACAUUGAACUUUUUAAAAAUAUCAAUUGGACCAUUCCGUCCAAAAAAUUAGACUGACAUUAAAUUAAAUUGCAUAUUUACGUAUGUGGCAACAAGAGAAAAAGAUAUUUACUGAGUUGAUUAAUGAUUUGACAGCCAUGUAAGAAUUUAAAUAAAGAAGAAUAAGUUUUAAUUUUCUUUCUUUUCUCUUCCUAUUAUUCCUCUCUUCCCAAUUUUUUCAUUUGUUGUUUCCCUUCUUCCUCUUCGUCUCCAUCUCUAUCUUUUAGAUCUGACCACAACAAAAUAUACCCGUCUCUGAAGAGGACUAAAACCUAGUUGUGCCUCGACCACAAUCACUAGUGGCUCAGUCCAAGAUAAAUAUUGCAAAGGGUCUAGAUCUGUUGUGGUGGUGGAAGAAAAUGAAAGUCCAGAUUUGUUGUUUUUGAUCACAAGGUUCCACGCCUCUUCAAGCACAUAAAAUGCCCUUAAAUCUAAAACUCCUCUAUCUCCUUCUUUUCACUGCUACUUUCUCCCUCUUUCUCGUUCUUCUCCGUCCACUGCUCCAUCAAUUACAGGGGAAUAGAAGGAACUAACUUCGAAUCAAUCUGGAAUGCGAUCGAGAUGUCGGAUCGAUAUGUAGAAUGUAUUUGAUUUAGAAUUGGAAUUGGAAUGUUUGAUUUGGAAUUUGAUGCUUGUUGUUACUGGGAUUUGGAUUUGGAAUGAUGUUGUGAUUUGGAUUUGCUGAUGUGAUGUGUUAUUGUUGUGAUUUGGAUUUGGAAUGAUUUUGUUGUGAUUUGUUGAUGCUUCCGGUAAUUAAGUCGUCCGCUUCUCAGAUAUGUUUUAAUUUUUAUAUUAAUUUUUUUAAACUAUUUUUUUUGUCAUUUUUAUACAUGUAGGUAAUAAUUUAAUUUUUUGUUUUAUUUUCUUAGACACUUGGAUAAUAAUUAAAGUGCCGUUCAAUUAAUUGGACAAAAUGUCUAAUUUUAAAAAUUUUAAUUAGUUCAAUGAGUUGAUUGAAUAUUUUUUAAAUUCGGUGAUCAAAUACUUAUUAGUCGACAAUCAGUGGGAUAAAAGUGUAUUUUACACUAAAGGAAUUGGAUGAAUUGAGAAAAGCGAACUCCAAUUCCUAAAACUGAAACCAGAACAUUAGUAAAGAAGAUUCGUGAUGAUCAUAGUUUUGUAUCAUGUUGAAGCAUGCGAUUUAAAACUAAUUGGUAGCAAGUGGAUAGACCGUUCAAAUAUAUAUUGAGUUUUCAUGUUUAAUUUAAUCAACGUGGGACCCAAAAGACACCUAAUCCGUUAAGUUUAGGCUAAUAAAAAUAUACUCCCUCUAUUUCUAAAAGAUUGUCCUUUAAAGUUAAUACACACAAAUUAAAAAAUAUAAUUAAUACCUAACAAAAAUACUAUACUACUCUUAUUAAUUGUCUCAACCAAUUAUUCCCCUCCCAAUGUUUCUUAUUCAAUUCAACCAAUUAUAUUUCUUAUUCAACCAAUUACUACUUGAAUUAUAGCAUUAAAUUGAAUAAAAAUCAUUAAAAAGAGAAGAAAACUUUAAAUAGAAGAAAGCUUUAAAUAAGGAUAAAGUAAGAAAAAAAAUAGCUAAUGUGUAUUGAUAAUCUCAAAACGACAAUCUUUUUGAAACAAAAAUUACUUCCUAAAUCGAUAAUCUUUUAGCAACAGACGAGUAUAAGCCACAAGUAACAACUUACACUUCACAUACCAGAUUAUUCAGGAUAUCAGAUGCAUGAUUACCUAGAAUUUUUCUAAUAUGCAGUACUUUACAAUCCAUUUUCAGUUUCAAUUAUGAAUGUGACGCAAGUUAGAUGGACGACUUCGCUUUGUAAAUGAUGUUUGAACCCUCAGCAUCCAAUUUCAGCAGCAAUCCGAAUGGGACUUCAAUCCUCUUCUACAAAGAGUCUACAUCAUGUACUAAUUGUAAAUAUUAUGCAUAAAUAGCAUCCAGUGAUAGCCCUGCUUUACACAAUCACAUAAUACCAUGGCAAACAUGUACUAAUUGUAAUAUGAUAAGCCAAUCAUAUAUCAUACCCAUUUAGUACACCACUGACUUUACUAAUUAAAAGCUCACUAUACUGUUUUUGAAAGAAAAAAACAUAAUACUUUCAUUAAGAAGGGCUCGGUCGGCACAGUGAAGGAGAAGAGAGGGCUGAGUGUUUUUUUAUAGACCAAAUACCUUGCUCUACACGAGUUUUUCUUGGUCCCUAAGCCUCUUGGGGCGCACGACUUUCACCCCCGAAUCGCCACCUCCUACUUCAUCUUUGCCGAGCUUUCCCCUGCUCUCCUUAUUUUACUUUCUUCCUUAGCUGAAUAGCUUUCCUUCUUUUCUUAUUUGGAUAGGUUAAAAAAAAU